CAAAUGAAGGCAGUGGGACAGCGAGACCCCACUGGGACCACACAGAUGCACAAGCUGCUUCAAACCUUUCAGGGCCCUUAAAUUCCUGGCAACUAAAAGGAAACAGGCCGCCUGGGGUGCUGGAAACCGCCGGCCUGGAGUCAGUCGAAGGUUCGAGAAGUCUGAGUCCUGGGCUAAAGCUCCGGCCCUGGGUGGCCCAGAGACAAGGAGCUGGAGUCCAGGGAUGCGUUCAACAGGGUCUGGCAUGGAAGGAGCAGGAGCCACAGAGACUUUGGUAACUGGCUCAGCCUCAAUCAGCAAGUGGCCGAGAGAGAGAAGAUGGAGGUGACUUGGGAGCAAGACUUCCAUCUGGACUGCGAUGAUGGUGCCGGGGCCUCUGGCUCUUGCCUGUCCAUGCGUCAUGCAUGGCCGGAUCAGCAGUCACAUCCCUUCAGAAGGUUCCCACAUCCUGUAAGGGGAAGGCCACUUGUUUGGACCCAAGAGUCAGUUCUGAGCAGAUGCUUCUAAUGCUAGCAUUUCCUAAAAGAGUGUUCUUGAUUUUCUCGCUCUUUCAUAAGUAGACCCAGAAAUCUUUUUUUUUCCUUCUCAAUGUACAGAUUAUUUUUCUGAAGCAU
rnacentral:lncRNA from 1 species